UAGGGCCGGGCUGGAGUCCCCGGGUCAGGCCCCGCCUCCUAGCCGCGAGCCCGUUGUUGCGCCCCGAAUCCAAUCACCUUCCCAGCGCCGAGGCUGAGGGGCGUAUUUAGGUCUAAACGACAGCGUCCGUCCUCUUCACACCGAACCUGACGUGAACGCGCCCCUCCGAUCCCCACGAUCAGUGCGUAUCUUAGGUCAGGCUGCGGUCCCGAAAACUGCGCCCGGUGCUAACUCAGCCAACGUGCUUCCCGCAGUUCGGGACUAGCUGGGAAUUGCGAGAGCGAGGCUCUGGAACCCGGGCGGGUGUCGGGUGAGGCCACCCUUCCUGCUCUGUCCCCUCGCUGCGUCCUCUUCGCAAAGCAGAGGAGUUCUCUUCACAGAGAUUUGAAUAAAGAAGAAACGAAGGCUCUGGCUGAAUUAUGAGCCUGCUUUUAAGCACUCCCAGGGGCUAACAAACAAGGAGGGCCGCUUCCAGACCCCAGACGUCCUCAGCUGAAUUCUGAGUGGCAGAUCAUCCCAGACGUGGCCAGAGGAAGCUGCUUACCGGUGCGCCUGCUUGUUCCUGUGACUUAGCUCCACCUUUGGCAACGAUCUACGUUUAUUCCCGCACGAAAAGCGACAUUCAUUCAAACGGUCACGUCCCCUGCUUCCGGAACCUUGGCACAACUCCUCAAAGCCCGAAUCCGGCCUGGGUUUCUCGGGGUCCCGUUUCCUGCAGCAUGGUCCCCCCCGUCCCCCGCUCCUCGAGCGCGCAGUGCUCCGGGGGCCUCGGCCAUGACUUCUUCCCCGGAAUCAGGGUGGACCGAGGCCUUGGGAGGCAGGAGCGGCCGCAGAAGUGGGCAGGGGUGGUCCCCGCAAAGGCGACGAAGGCGCCAGGUACCGAACUCGGAAAGCAUUGAUCUCACAUGCGGCGCGGUGAGUUCUGAAGACUCUGGUUGGACGCCGCGGGCCUUCGCUACCGAGUGUGCGCUCGUUUGGGUGUUGUCGGUGCUCCCGUGGGUCGUUCGGCAAAACCCGAGUCCUCCGCUUCACAGGUGCUCACCAUAAAGUACAGCAUCACUUAUUUGAAAUAUGACGUCAAUGCUAUUAUUUACUAAUAUGCAAAACGUUAUUACUUUAUUUUAAAGCAUUUAUUGUUUUGGUACCGGGAUUCGAACUCAGGACCCUGCACUUACAAGGCACGCGGAGGAACCACUGAGCCUGAUCCCCGGCCCUGUCACUGCUUUCUAACUGAGCACCCCCCCACCCCAUGUGCUACAAGGGCCGCCCCAAAGGCCCCGUCUGUCUGGCGAUCUCAGACAGGCUUAUCUGGGGCCCGGCCCGCCUAGGACACCCUGAACACCACGCGAGGGCUUCUGUUCCCGUCCGGCCUUACUUCCAGGGAGAGGCGGUCCUGGCAGAGGCCGUGCAAGGCCUUCCGAGGCGGCUGUGGGCUGUGCAGACCUCUCCGGGCUGCACGAUGCUGCCUGGAAAUCAGGGCUGACGGCUGUAGCCUGUCGGGGAGCAAGCGCGGCUCAGAGCCCCCCAUCGUUGCCUCGCCGGGAGCCCGGGAGCCCGCGCAGCCGAGGAAGCUUGCGCUGGGCGCCUCCUGCGCUCUGAAAGCUCUCUGCCUGCACAGCCGCUCGGACA